UAAAACUGGAGGCUCAUUAUUGUAGACAAUACUUUUUAACUUUUAAUAAAGAGAGAGAGAGACAGAUAGAGGGGCUCAACGAGUACCAAGACUUUGGUCGAGGGGAGUUUCUCAGCUCUUUCUCUCAUUGUGUCUCAAUUUCCUCGUCCCUUCAUCGCUCUCAUUACAUCUAUCUUCCAUUUUUUUAUAGGGUUUUUCUUCUAUUUGCCAUCUUCAAGUCGAUAAGUUAAAUAAAUUUACACAAUCGUCUCUCUACACUAUUUCACUUGUCAUCAAUACCGCAUCACACUUAUUGUAAAAGCUUUCUAUCGAAAAUUUUAAUGGCUUCUGAUUCAUGGAGCUCUCGUCUCUCGACUUCUUCAAAACGCUACCAUUAUCGAUCUGAUCUGUACGAGGAAACUGAUGUAGACGAGGAUUUGAAAGCCGAGUUUUUGUGUCCGUUUUGCGCCGAGGAUUUCGACGUUGUUGGACUCUGCUGUCAUAUUGACGAGGAGCAUCCUAUUGAAGCUAAGAAUGGGGUAUUAAUUCUCUAUACUCUUUUCUUCCCUCUUCUCAUGUUGUAAAAUUUAUCGCGGUAUUUAUUUAUUUGCUUUUAAUUUAUAAGGUUUUAAAGUUCUCUUCCUUACAGCUUUAUCUUUUCGCUGAUAUGAUCUUUCGAAAAAAAACUGCUUUUAUUGUGGCAAAGUACAAUACAUGUGGGGUUUAGUUAACUUUCUCGGGCUGGUUUAUAGAACAUAUUUAGUGAUUGCUGGUAAGAAAUUUUUGGUUUGAAAACGUUUAGAGAAUGGAGAGUGAUUGUAGAGAGUAUAUGCUUUUGUUUUGUUUUGGUUCCAAUAUAUUUUAUGAGUCUUGGAUUGUGAUUUUCGAUCGAGCUGUGGUACUAACUCCGAGCCAAUGCUAGUUAGAAAGAGAGGAUUGGAGACAACAGCGUUUCUGUCAAAUGGAUCUUAUAGUGUUAAUUUGUGUGAGCCUUAAAUUUAUGGCUAUUUUCUCUCCUUUGGGGAGUUUAGCUGCAUUCUAGAAUACAAUGCAGUCAUUGUAGUCUGUAACACUUGUCUGGCCUUGUGUUUUCAGUGCUUAAACUUAAUCAUGGUGGUGUUGCUGGUGAUGAUAUUCAGUAACUGCUUUGCUAAGUUAUUCUUGUUCAAAUUAUUUGUUUCAGGUGUGCCCAGUCUGUGCUAAACGAGUCGGAGUGGAUAUUUUUGGCCACAUUAAUAUGCAACAUGGCAACUUCUUUAA
rnacentral:misc_RNA from 1 species